rnacentral:rRNA from 1 species
AACCUACCUAUAAGACUGGGAUAACUCCGGGAAACCGGGGCUAAUACCGGAUAANACAUGAAACCGCAUGGUUUCAUGAUGAAAGACGGUUUUGCUGUCACUUAUAGAUGGACCCGCGGCGUAUUGCUAGUUGGUAAGGUAACGGCUUACCAAGGCAACGAUACGUAGCCGACCUGAGAGGGUGAUCGGCCACACUGGAACUGAGACACGGUCCAGACUCCUACGGGAGGCAGCAGGC